UUGGGCGUAAGGGCUCGUAGGCGGUUUCUUAAGUCUGAUGUGAAAGCCCACAGCUCAACUGUGGAGGGUCAUUGGAAACUGGGGAACUUGAGUGCAGAAGAGGAGAGUGGAAUUCCACGUGUAGCGGUGAAAUGCGUAGAUAUGUGGAGGAACACCAGUGGCGAAGGCGACUCUCUGGUCUGUAACUGACGCUGAGGAGCGAAAGCGUGGGGAGCAAACAGGAUUAGAUACCCUGGUAGUCCACGCCGUAAACGAUGAGUGCUAGGUGUUAGGGGGUUUCCGCCCCUUAGUGCUGAAGUUAACGCAUUAAGCACUCCGCCUG
rnacentral:rRNA from 2 species